GUAGGGGCGGCCCUCGCGCUCGUGAAAACCUAGAGGCGGGAACCGAGUGGGCGGAAAGAAAAGAGUGCGAGGUCCCACCGAGGACCUACAAGAGCUGAGACUGUGGGGCCAGAGGAGGGGCAGUCAGCGUGAGCAGUAGGGCUCCCCGCAACUGACGCAGCAGAAGUGCUCCGGGUGCCAGUGAGUGCCCAAGGCAGUAACCAUCUUCUAUGGAGAACGAAAGGAGACACUCAGUGUGGCCCUCCAUCGCUUCUUCCCUCCCUCUCCCUCCCUGAACCUAGAGGCCACAUCGUGGGGAGAAGCGCUCAAAGUAGCACUCGGGGCAGAAGGGGGCUCCAUCCUUCUCGAAGAAGCUGCUGCCUCCCAGGGCCAGGGAACAGCCACCGCAAACGAAGUGCUCAGGGUGCCAAGCGCGG